rnacentral:rRNA from 1 species
UACGGAGGGUGCAAGCGUUAUCCGGAUUCACUGGGUUUAAAGGGUGCGUAGGAGGGCAGGUAAGUCAGUGGUGAAAUCUCCAAGCUUAACUUGGAAACUGCCGUUGAUACUAUCUGUCUUGAAUACGGUGGAGGCGGGCAGAAUGCGUCAUGUAGUGGUGAAAUACUUAGAUAUGACGCAGAAUACCCAUUGCGAAGGCAGCUCGCUACGCCGGCAUUGACACUGAGGCACGAAAGCGUGGGGAUCAAACAGG